UUUUUUUUUUUGAAAUUUCUGCUUUGAAACCUACUAUAGUACUACCUCUGUCCCGUUAUUUGUAUGUAAAUUUAAGAAAAUUUCGUCUUAAAAUAAAUGUCUCAACUUUGAGACGAAGGAAGUACUAGCUUAGCUCAGUUGUUGAGUUAUUAAGGGGUGCAAUUUGCCAGUGUUGCUGUAGCAUCCAUUUCAAAGUAAAAUAGUGGAGACAGC
rnacentral:lncRNA from 1 species